UCCAGACUCCUACGGGAGGCAGCAGUGGGGGAUAUUGCACAAUGGGGGGAACCCUGAUGCAGCGACGCCGCGUGGGUGAAGGAGCGUUUCGGCGCGUAAAGCCCUAUCGGCAGGGAAGAAGGAGGACGGUACCUGACUAAGAAGCCCCGGCUAACUACGUGCCAGCAGCCGCGGUAAUACGUAGGGGGCAAGCGUUAUCCGGAUUUACUGGGUGUAAAGGGAGCGUAGACGGCGAUGCAAGCCAGAUGUGAAAGCCCGGGGCUCAACCCCGGGACUGCAUUUGGAACUGUGUGGCUGGAGUGUCGGAGAGGCAGGCGGAAUUCCUAGUGUAGCGGUGAAAUGCGUAGAUAUUAGGAAGAACACCAGUGGCGAAGGCGGCUUUCUGGACUGAAACUGACGCUGAGGCACGAAAGCGUGGGGAGCGAACAGGAUUAGAUACCCUCGUAGG
rnacentral:rRNA from 1 species